rnacentral:rRNA from 1 species
UGCGUAGGCGGGUCUUUAAGUCAGGGGUGAAAUCCUGGAGCUCAACUCCAGAACUGCCUUUGAUACUGAAGAUCUUGAGUUCGGGAGAGGUGAGUGGAACUGCGAGUGUAGAGGUGAAAUUCGUAGAUAUUCGCAAGAACACCAGUGGCGAAGGCGGCUCACUGGCCCGAUACUGACGCUGAGGCACGAAAGGCGUGGGAGCAAACA